rnacentral:piRNA from 1 species
UGAUUCAGGCUUCUCAAGGAGG